CUGUUAACGUCACAUAUGAACAGUUCUUCAGAUAAACUAUAACAUAAACAACAGAACAGAACAAGUUUAACAAACUCUCCAUCUCACUCCAAAUCACUAAAUCCAUUCAAUUCUUCAUCCUCGGUGUCACUUCUGAGCAACUCCGCGACCUCCAGAGGUAAACAGAGCGCCGCUUCCUCUUCUGUGUCGCUGUCGUCAGACUCAGCAUCAGUUCCAGUUAGAAUUAUCCUGGCAUUUCUGAAUCCCGACAGGAUGGUUUUGGUUGUCACUGAAGUCCAGGCUUUGUCGAUCCAUCCAGUGACUUCCAGGAAAGUGCUGUCACAGGUUUCUCGCUCACUUCAAACUUUCUUUCUGCUGCUCGAUUACCGUUUUCGGCUAAAUAUUUCACUACUUAUAGCAGGACAGCGGCUUUUUCUACAGGAGACAUGCGCAGUAGAGUGAAGUGACAGUGAUACAGGAGUAAUAGUGAUAGUGACACACAAGACUAGAGCCUCUCGCGGCUGUCAGAGUGAAAAUUUUAAUAUAUAAGUCGCACUGGAGUAUAAGUCACAGGAAACAACCAAACCAUGAAAAAAAGUGCAACUUAUAGUCCAAAAAAUACGGUAAUUAUUUCUAUAGAGACUGGCAGAAAAGUUACACUGAGCACCUUUUAAUAUACUGACAAAAACAAAUAUUGAUGAACUAUAUUUUUGCAAUCCUUCAGAAACGUGCCGGUAGAUGUCUUUUGUUUUUGAAUUUUAAGUAUUGCACUCAAUUUGAAUGAACUGUGAAAUUAAGCAUAAACUUGUUUGGAUAAUUUAACUGUUAUGUUUCUUUUCUGCUCAUUUUUUAUCUUUCCUUUUACUACUUUUUGAAGAUAUUUAAUGGCACUGGCAUUUUUGGUCUGGUGGAUUGCAAAAAUAUCAUUGCAGAGAGAGUAUCGAGCUGUUCAUUUUCUACUAGGAAUUAAGAACUAGGUCUGAAAAUGAAAGCAACUCUUUUAAAUGGAGCCAAAAUUAUCCGUGUAUCGUUCGUUCAUUUGUUUUUCAGUAUAAAACCAAAAGUCAGAAAACAAAAAAGCAACAGUUUUCUUCAUUAUUUGUCUCCAAAUCCAAGAUGAAAAAAACAGAUCACGAUUUGUUUUUUCAGUUUUCGAUUUUUGUGUUUAAAUGAAAAAUGGAAAAAAACGAUAACGUCCGUAUCCCGUUUACGUGACUUAAACUGCGAUGCCGGACUGAACCAGGACUGAACCAGGACUGAAACAGGACUAAACCAGGUCUAAACUGUUUUCAGUCCUGGUCUGAUCCCAGUCUCGGCCCUGGUCCUGGUUUGGUCCCGGUUUCAGUCCCGGUCUGGUCUCGGUCUGGUCCUGGUCUUAAUCCUGGUCUCAGUUCUGGUCUCAGUUCUGUUUGAUCUCGGUCUAAGUCCUGGUCUCAGUCCUGGUCUAAGUUCUGGUUUGAUUUCAGUCUAAGGACUAAACCCGAUCUAAUCCGUUUUCAGUCUUGGUCAGAUCCCAGUCUAGUCCAGGUUUCAAUCACUGUCUGGUCCUGAUCUCAGUCCUGGUCUGGUCCCGGACCUGGUUUGGUCCUGGUUCAGUCUGGCAUCGCAGUCACGGAAGUCACGUAAACGGGAAACGGCCGUUGUCCGUUUUUUUCCAUUUUUCAUUUAAACGCAAAAUGGAAAACUGAAAAAACAAAUCGUUAUCUGUUUUUUCAUUUUGGUUUUAGAGAGAAAUAAUGAAGAAAAUAGUUGUUUUUUCAUUUUCUUAUUUUUGGUUUUAUUUUGAAAAGCAAAUGAACAAAUGAUACACGGAUUCAGAAUAAUAGUACAGUUUAGCACAUGUUGUUUCCUGCCAACAGUUCGUCAGGAGAUUUUGGAGACCACGCACAAGACUGCCUCUUAGAUUUAUAGCUUUAAUUUGUCAAUGUUGUUUUUUUAAUUGACCAUUUUGACUUUUCAUGUUCUGUAGUUUACAAUAACAAUCUGCCUUGUGUGCACUGAUUUGCAUAAUGGUUUUGACACACUUCUGUCCAAUUUCCUCUUUUAUUCAAUAGACCACAGAUAAUGAAGCUACUUAAGGUAUACAGACUUUCAACUGGUUUUCAGAUUCAACUGGUCCAUUUUUAUCGAUAUAAAAGAGACUCUGUCAAAGUUGAGGAGAUCUACAGACCAGAAUCAGCCCAGAUCUACAGAAUUAUUAAAAAUCUGAGCUCAGUUGUUGAACCAGCUUCAUGGACCAAACGAGUGAGUGAGUUUUGUGUUUUGUGCGAUGAUGAGAGUGGAUCUUUGUGGCCUUUAGUCUUUUACAGCAGAGUGUGUUGUUUUGUUUACACUGACAGAUUCAUGCAGCAUUUCAGUCCGGCUCAUAUUCAAGAUUAGAAUCAUUUCUGAGAGAAUGUACAUUUUGAACUUUUUACACUGUAAGAUAAAGUUAGAACCCGUUUAGUCUUUUCUAGUGUGGUGAGCUACUGAUGGUUUCCCUGAUUAAUCAAACUUUUGCCACAUCCUGUUUGCAGAAAAGCACAGACCUGUGAAAUGGUCUGCUAAUAUUCAAAAUGUAAUAGUUCUGUUAAAACAGCAGCUUAUGUGCCUUUGUUGCCUCCAUGUUUGUUUUGAAUCAUUUGGACCACGGAGCUGCUCUGUGAUUGGUCCAGUCCAUCGUUGGGUUUGAUCCAAAACACAGGAGUGUGUGUGAAAUAUUUAACAGUGCAAAUUGUCGCUCUCAAAUCUUUUCACCAUUCACCAUGUGAUGCUGUAGCUCUCAUUUGACGUUUACAUUUAGUAAAAUCUGAUUUGCUUUGAGUUUUCUAUACAGAUCUAUGGCUCUUCAGAAGUUUGCUGCCUUUAGCACAGAUACAUUUCAGAAUGUGAGCUCUGUGUCUAAAUAUUUCAACAUUUCUAGUUGUUUCACGUCUCAUCUGUUUGUGUGAAAUGUGUUUAUGCCUCAGUGUUGACUUGAUUCAUUCAGAUGACUGAAUGUACGUAUUUAAAAGUGUAAAAACAUCACAGACGCAACUGUGUUGUCUCUGUUAUGUCAAAUAUAUAUUGCAAAAUAAACUUUACAAUUAAUUGA